rnacentral:rRNA from 1 species
UGGGGAAUAUUGCACAAUGGGCGCAAGCCUGAUGCAGCCAUGCCGCGUGUAUGAAGAAGGCCUUCGGGUUGUAAAGUACUUUCAGCGGGGAGGAAGGCGAUAAGGUUAAUAACCUUGUCGAUUGACGUUACCCGCAGAAGAAGCACCGGCUAACUACGUGCCAGCAGCCGCGGUAAUACGGAGGGUGCAAGCGUUAAUCGGAAUUACUGGGCGUAAAGCGCACGCAGGCGGUCUGUCAAGUCGGAUGUGAAAUCCCCGGGCUCAACCUGGGAACUGCAUUCGAAACUGCCAGGCUAGAGUCUUGUAGAGGGGGGUAGAAUUCCAGGUGUAGCGGUGAAAUGCGUAGAGAUCUGGAGGAAUACCGGUGGCGAAGGCGGCCCCCUGGACAAAGACUGACGCUCAGGUGCGAAAGCGUGGGGAGCAAACA